rnacentral:rRNA from 1 species
ACCAAUUACUUAUUGAGUAUAUAUCUCUAGUGUUAUUACUAUUUUACAUGCAAUGACAACUAAGCCGCAGUGUAUAGAUUUACUAAAUUACCAAAGAAGUAGAGCUUAAAUUUAGUCUGAAUAAGAAAGUGCCAGCAUUCGCGGUUAUACUUUCAGUCAACUAGAUUAAUGAAAUUUAAUAUUUUACACCCUUUUUUGGUCAAAUACUAUAGGGUUUAAAAACAUAUAUUUAUAACUAAAUUUGUAAAUUGGAUUAGUCCCCAAGUAAUAUAGAUAAGAUUUUUGGUAGUAUCGAAUAAAAACCAAACUCAAAUGGCAGAAUUAACUCUCAUAUUAGGGAAACUCGUAAAUAAUGAAUUUACUCACUAUGAAAUUAUUUUUUUAAAGUAUGGCUGUCUAAUAAAAUUAAAAGAUAAGUCGGUCAAGUUAUAUUUUAUAUAAUAAUAUACUUAUAAGUUGCAAUAAUAAUAAAAUAUAGUAUUUAAUAGUAAGUUAAUCUUCACUGAAUUUUUAGUAAUUAGUUCAAAUUGUCCGUCACUCUCGUGUGAGAUAAGUCGUAGCAAAGUAACAGUUAUAGAAAUAGCUGUUAA